CGUGCACCAGUGGGGUCCCUCGGCCAGGCCUGCACCCUCUCACAAUCUGGGACAUCUUGGGGGAUGUCGGAGAGCCAGUUUCAGCCUGAUCCUGCAGGCCAGGCCGAGGGACCCCACUGGUGCACG
rfam:Myotis brandtii contig316668, whole genome shotgun sequence.